CCUGUGGUGGAGGAGACACAAGAGGAAACCUGUGGUGGAGGAGACACAAGAGGAAACCUGUGGUGGAGGAGACACAAGAGGAAACCUGUGGUGGAGGAGACACAAGAGGAAACCUGUGGUUGACAGAGGUGGAGGAGAUUUAAGAGGAAACCUGUGGUGGAGGAGACACAAGAGGAAACCUGUGGUUGACAGAGGUGGAGGAGACACAAGAGGAAACCUG